UACGAAGGGGACUAGCGUUGUUCGGAAUCACUGGGCGUAAAGCGCACGUAGGCGGAUAUGUCAGUCAGGGGUGAAAUCCCGGGGCCCAACCUCGGAACUGCCUUUGAUACAGCAUAUCUUGAGUCCGAUAGAGGUGGGUGGAAUUCCUAGUGUAGAGGUGAAAUUCGUAGAUAUUAGGAAGAACACCGGUGGCGAAGGCGGCCCACUGGAUCGGUACUGACGCUGAGGUGCGAAAGCGUGGGGAGCAAACAGG
rnacentral:rRNA from 1 species